rnacentral:lncRNA from 10 species
GGGUGUCCCAGUAUCCUCCCUAUGAAUUCCCCAGCACCUCCAGGUCACAGGGUGACAUGGGCUGUGACAGAGUCACCUGGUGCCUUCCAGAGAAUAGGAGAUGGAGCAACGGAGACAGGACCCAAGUUCAGUGUGCAGGCACAAGAGACAUACGUAUUGACUCACUUUACUUUUGGAACUCUUUUCUAUAAAAACAGAAAUGCAACUCAAGGAUUUUAUACACUGAUGGUCAAUGUAAUUUUAUCCAUUUUAUUUUAUUUUUAAAUAAAAUAAUUUAUUAGAACACUUUUAUAUAUUCACCUAUUCAUAAAAUCCCCUCUCACUCUUCAACCUUUGACAACCGCUGAUAUUUCUACUGUUUCUAUAGUUUUGCUUUUC